rnacentral:rRNA from 1 species
AGAGUUUGAUCCUGGCUCAGGAUGAACGCUAGCGGGAGGCCUAACACAUGCAAGCCGAGCGGUAUUGUUUCUUCGGAAACGAGAGAGCGGCGCACGGGUGCGGAACACGUGUGCAACCUGCCUUUAUCUGGGGGAUAGCCUUUCGAAAGGAAGAUUAAUACCCCAUAAUAUUUUGAAUGGCAUCAUUCAAAAUUGAAAACUCCGGUGGAUAGAGAUGGGCACGCGCAAGAUUAGAUAGUUGGUAGGGUAACGGCCUACCAAGUCAGUGAUCUUUAGGGGGCCUGAGAGGGUGAUCCCCCACACUGGUACUGAGACACGGACCAGACUCCUACGGGAGGCAGCAGUGAGGAAUAUUGGACAAUGGGUGAGAGCCUGAUCCAGCCAUCCCGCGUGAAGGACGACGGCCCUAUGGGUUGUAAACUUCUUUUGUACAGGGAUAAACCUAUUUACGUGUAAAUAGCUGAAGGUACUGUACGAAUAAGCACCGGCUAACUCCGUGCCAGCAGCCGCGGUAAUACGGAGGGUGCAAGCGUCAUCCGGAUUUAUUGGGUUUAAAGGGUCCGUAGGCGGAUCCGUAAGUCAGUGGUGAAAUCUCAUAGCUUAACUAUGAAACUGCCAUUGAUACUGCGGGUCUUGAGUAAGGUAGAAGUAGCUGGAAUAAGUAGUGUAGCGGUGAAAUGCAUAGAUAUUACUUAGAACACCAAUUGCGAAGGCAGGUUACUAUGUCUUAACUGACGCUGAUGGACGAAAGCGUGGGGAGCGAACAGGAUUAGAUACCCUGGUAGUCCACGCCGUAAACGAUGCUAACUCGUUUUUGGGCUUUCGGGUUCAGAGACUAAGCGAAAGUGAUAAGUUAGCCACCUGGGGAGUACGAACGCAAGUUUGAAACUCAAAGGAAUUGACGG